rnacentral:lncRNA from 1 species
CAAUGAUGCUCAAACAACUUUAACAACUAACACGGAUAAAUCAAAGGUAUCAAAAUAUAUUUAUAGUGUAUUGGUUUGUAAUGGAGAUUAAUAUUGGCCUUGGGUUUUAUUAAUAGAAAUCUAAGAGGAAAGAACCAGAAGAUGCUGCAAGUAAUGUAAGAACAACCAACACUGAACCCAAAAAGGUAUGUCUCCAACUCUGAACAAUGUUUGCCAAUAAUUUUAGAAAGUAUGGAGAUGAUUUGAUAAUGUAUUUUGUUUUUAUUUUUAAAUAAUAACAACCAAAGAGGAAAUUACCCCGAGCUCCAAGCGGUAUUGGAGUUCUUGGAAUGGAUAAUGGUGAUGCAUAUGUAAGAGCAUCUCUAAUGGGUCUCCCAUAUUUAGCCGACACAUAGGACGAUUUAGCCUCCACGUAGGUGCCACCUACUUUUCCAUCACUUUUUUUAGCAGGUCUUCCAUACCUAUAUCAGGGGUAACCCUAACGCAAAACCUAUUUAUUUUGCCAAAUUUUUAUCUUCCACUAUAUUUAAUGUUCACAGUGGAAAUGUUUUUCUGUUCCACACUGGUUCAACCAGCGUGGAAUACUUGGGCUUCGCGUGUCUGGGCUUGGGGCAGUAGCCUGGGAGGCGUGGGCUGGGCUUGGGGCAGGCUGGGCUGGGAGGGACAGGAUCUGUUAUAUGUUCCACGCUGGUUGAAGCAGCGUGGAACUUUAAUGAAGUGUUUUUUUUAACAAACAGCAAACAACAACCACCGUCUUCUCCCUUUUUCCGCCGCCAUUCUUCUUCCUCUUCCGUUGAAAUUUAGGGUUCCACGCUGGUUAGACAUGCGUGGAAUUAAAAAAAAAAAAAAAAAUGUUCCACGCUGGUUUGACCUGCGUGGAAUAAAAAAAAAAAAAAAAAAAGGGUUCCACGCCGGUUUAACCAGCGUGGAAUUAAAAAAAUAAUAAAAAAAAAGUUCCACGCUGGUUGAACCAGCGUGGAACAUUUUAUUUUCCCCAUUCCUAUAAUCCUAUCUUUGGUUCGAUUUUGGACGAAGUUUUAGCAGACCGGCCCACCACAUCCUACGUGGAUAGCCGGCUGCUAAAAAUCUAGAAGACGCGUUAGGGUGCUGUUUUUUUCGGAAUUCCUAAAUUAUAGGUUUUAGGAGACCCAUUAGAGAUGCUCUAAAGAUGGUAUUAUGUUAUUUAUUUUUUCUGUUUAUAUUGAUUUAUGGUGUUACAUCUAUUUAUUGAUAUUGUUAAUUGUAGUUGGGAACUACUAGAGGAAAAUAUUACAGAGUUGAAGCACAAACUGGAUCAUCAAGUGUUGCGCAAACUGAAACUGGACGAUAUAGUGUAGGAGAAAGUGUAACUAUUCUAUCUGAGGUAGAUGGAGCUCCUAUUGCAAGUCAAACUAGGGAUGGAACAUCAAGUGGAGCUGCUAACAAUGUCAGGAGGUCACCAAGGAAGCAUGCAAACUCAUUUAGGACUAAUGUUGAACCUAAUGUCACUAGUGGUGCAGCUGCAAAGAAGAAGCCUGGAAGUACAAGUGCAACAAACUCAUGUGCAAAGUGUUGUAGCUGAUAAGAAGAUGGCUGGAAGGCCAAGAAAAAAUCGAGAGUCAAGUGUUGGUGGUGGAACAGAGAUGGAUACCAGCUCAAGGGGAUUUCGAUUCUUACUUUUUGGAAAACAACCAAUGUAGCUGGUUGCUAUAUAUGUUUAAGACAAAUGUCCGUCUUAGUGCUUUGGUUUUUGGUUUAAUAAACAAUGCUAAGACAUUUUGGUCUUGGUUAUGUCAUUUGGUUGAAGCAACUUUAUUAGCUAUGAUUUUGUAUUUCUGUUGCAGACAAGUGUUGAUGACAAUUUAUGAAUUAAAGUUAGAUUGAAUUUUGAAUGGUCAGUUUAGCAAUUCAGUGUUUCUGCAUUAUAAUUGGAUUUAAUGAUUAGUUGAUAACAAU